CCUGAGAAACCCAAAAGAUCGAAUGGGGAGAUUCAUCGUCAGCUCAUUUUGUAUAUGUAUAAGUUACGAUGCGGGUUACUACUUGUAGUAUUGCCUGUACGUUCUUGUAUAUUUUGUUGCAAGAUGUUGUCGGCGUGCACUUCUUCCCUAGUAGGACGUCGCGACCCGUUGGGUGUCGGUCUACGGCCYAAGUGAUAGCCUUUAAUGUAAUUUAAAAAUCAUUGAAGAUCCUUGGUGUUUUCUGACCGACUACUUGGCGGUAUUCGUACGGUAUUUAGCCGCUAAAUUAAUUAGCGUCCAUGUCCGUCACAAGCGAGGCUAAUUUACUGAUAGUACGGACCUAGUGCCGUCGUUGGUAUUGGCCAGCUGUUGGUUGUACGUGAUUCUGGGACUGGCUAAAAUUAAUUACCGGUCGGCGAUGCUACUGCUUUGGGUACUUUCAGG
rnacentral:rRNA from 1 species